rnacentral:tRNA from 1 species
GCUAGCGUAGCUUAACACAAAGCAUAACACUGAAGAUGUUA